GACGAACCGUGCGAACGUUGUUCGGAAUCACUGGGCUUAAAGGGCGCGUAGGCGGGUUCGCAAGUCAGGGGUGAAAUCUUUCAGCUUAACUGGAGAACAGCCCCUGAUACUGCGAGUCUCGAGGGAGGUAGGGGCAUGUGGAACUUCCGGUGGAGCGGUGAAAUGCGUAGAUAUCGGAAGGAACGCCGGUGGCGAAGGCGCUGCUCUGGGCCGAAACUGACGCUGAGGAGCGAAAGCGUGGGUAGCAAACAGG
rnacentral:rRNA from 1 species